AGCUUUGCGCAAGUGGCAGUAUCGUAGUCAAUGAGGUUUAUCCGAGGCACGGUUAUUGCUAAUUGAAAAUAUGGAGACAUUCCAUUGGCAUUUGCUUUGUCCCUACUUUAGCAGUUACCAAAGCUC
ensembl:snRNA Gm25176 predicted gene, 25176